UUUCCUGCUUGACUCCCACAUUUUCUCCUGAUAAUAGAUUUUAGUGGCUAUUCUUAUAGAAUAGCUUAAAAUUGCCAUGAUCUGAAGAAAGAGGGUUUUUUGGUGACCUCCUCUAAUAUGAGAUGGCUGAACAGGGGGAA
ensembl:snoRNA